rnacentral:rRNA from 1 species
CGCGUAGGUGGUAGUGCAAGUCUGGGGUGGAAUCCCAGGGCUUAACCCUGGAACUGCCUUGGAAACUGUAUUACUUGAGUCAGUGAGGGGAGGGUAGAAUUCCUGGUGUAGCGGUGAAAUGCGUAGAUAUCAGGAGGAAGGCCUGUGGCGAAGGCGGCCCUCUGGCGCUGAACUGACACUGAGGCGCGAAAGCGUGGGUAGCAAACAGGAUUAGAUACCCUGGUAGUCCACGCCCUAAACGGUGGGUACUAGGUGUGGGGCUCGUAAGGGUUCUGUGCCGAAGCGAAAGCAUUAAGUACCCCGCCUAGGGAGUACGGCCGCAAGGUUGAA